rnacentral:lncRNA from 1 species
AAAGUCGUAACGGUAAGUUUAGGAUCAGCGCUGCUCUGUGUGGCUCACUCUCUGGGUUGUUUGGUCACAGGAAGCUGCAGUAGUUCGCCCAACCACUAGAUGGAGCACAGCUGCAGCCACUCAGUCGUUAGCAGCCAGUCAGAGCAGAGCAGGCUCAGCUUAGCCAUUCCUUUAUUUUAUUUUUCUGCCUAUACUGCAGUUCAUUCUUAUAACCUGUCUUGUGGAGGAAAAUGAAUAAAGAUAUUAAACACAUUGACUGGAUAAUACCCGCUCGACAGUGCAGCUUUCAGCCCAAACACGGGGGCAGCAGUAGUGUAUUGGACUGCAACCCUGACGACACAGGUUCGAUCCUGCAUGAGGAGUGGCCCAUGCCAUUCUGUUUCUUGAUUGCAAUAUGCAAUCCUGAAAUUGGACACCAGGGGAGCUUAAGGAAAAGGACCAGGGAAGUCUGAUCCAGAGAGAGAUUUCAGGGCUCCUCAUCUUUCCUGACCUGGAACAACAUCCUGCUCAAUCAAAGCAUCUCUGUACUCUGUUCCAAUUGGUGUGUUACAGUUUAUCAUUAUUCUUGGGGUUAAUUAGAAAUGAGUGUCAUUUUUGUUUUUGUCUACCCUUUUUACCUGAUUUGGUGGCAGGAAAUCUGAGUGGUUUUGGUGUAUUUUGGUAAUUUUUAGGUUUAAUUAGCUCUUUCUCAGUGUUAUUUAUUGUUUUGGCGAAUUUUUACCUUGGAGUUGUAAUUCCCAUCCUUUUGGCAAUAAAAUCAUCUUGGUUUAUUCA